rnacentral:rRNA from 1 species
AUUGAACGCUGGCGGAAUGCUUUACACAUGCAAGUCGAGCGGCAGCGCGGGGCAACCUGGCGGCGAGCGGCGAACGGGUGAGUAAUACAUCGGAACGUGCCCAGACGUGGGGGAUAACUACUCGAAAGAGUGGCUAAUACCGCAUACGAUCUAAGGAUGAGAGCGGGGGAUCGCAAGACCUCGCGCGUUUGGAGCGGCCGAUGGCAGAUUAGGUAGUUGGUGGGGUAAAGGCUUACCAAGCCCGCGAUCUGUAGCUGGUCUGAGAGGAUGAUCAGCCACACUGGGACUGAGACACGGCCCAGACUCCUACGGAGGCAGCAGUGGGGAAUUUUGGACAAUGGGCGAAAGCCUGAUCCAGCCAUUCCGCGUGCAGGAUGAAGGCCCUCGGGUUGUAAACUGCUUUUGUACAGAACGAAAAGACUCUUUCUAAUACAGAGAGUCCAUGACGGUACU